UUGCUAUCAUCAUCACUUUGGCAGCACAUCUACUAAAACUGGAAAGACACAGUGAGGAUCAGUAUGGUCACCAUGCUAGGGUGAUGCACGAAUUCUUGAAGCAGUACACACAAAU
rnacentral:snRNA from 1 species